AGUGAACGCUGGCGGUAGGCCUAACACAUGCAAGUCGAACGGCAUCCCUGGAGAGCUUGCUCUCUGGGUGGCGAGUGGCGGACGGGUGAGGAAUACAUCGGAAUCUACUCUGUCGUGGGGGAUAACGUAGGGAAACUUACGCUAAUACCGCAUACGACCUACGGGUGAAAGCAGGGGACCUUCGGGCCUUGCGCGAUUGAAUGAGCCGAUGUCGGAUUAGCUAGUUGGCGGGGUAAAGGCCCACCAAGGCGACGAUCCGUAGCUGGUCUGAGGGAAUGAUCAGCCUCACUGGAACUGAGACACGGUCCAGACGCCUACGGGAGGCAGCAGUGGGGAAUAUUGGACAAUGGGCGCAAGCCUGAUCCAGCCAUACCGCGUGGGUGAAGAAGGCCUUCGGGUUGUAAAGCCCUUUUGUUGGGAAAGAAAUCCAGCUGGCUAAUACCCGGUUGGGAUGACGGUACCCAAAGAAUAAGCACCGGCUAACUUCGUGCCAGCCGCCGCCGUAA
rnacentral:rRNA from 1 species